ensembl:lncRNA
AUGUCAUCUUCCUGUGCUUGGCUUUCUUGGGGGUUCUCAGCGGCAUGCCUGGGCUUCUACCUUGGGCUUGAUUUCACCAAAAAAAGCUUUGGAAACACCCUCUACACACGAUCGACCCCCAUGGGAAGCCAGUUUCAGGUGUCACUACCUCUGCUGCACACUGGGCUUGCCUCUUUGUGGUUGUUCCCUCCAUGUCCAGACAGUAGUGGUGAGAUGCAGGAGUCCCUGGGCUUGGAGAUAAAGGCAGGGCCCCUUGGUCGGUGGCCCAGGUCGAAAAGUGGCAGUCAGCUCAUUGGGCCGGGUAACGUUCUGGUAACACCCAAAGUGCCCGCUUCCUGGCCUGAAGCGCUCUCCUCCUCCACCCGACCGGAACCGAAGAGUGGCUGCAACGAGGUACUGAGGUCAGGACUGUCAGGGGCCUAUGCUGCUUGUGGCACGCAACCUCCUUCCAGGCGCCGCCCCUGCCACCGUCUCCACCUUGUACCUGUGCGGCAGCAGCUGGACAGCGCCAACAUCGCGGCUCCCCAGCUGGGCAGACGAAAGCGCAUGCGCAGGCGGCCUGUCACAAGCGCCAGCGCUGAGCCCGGGCUCGCGUCACAGGAACAGCCACCGUUGCCUGGGGAACGAUCACAGUGGCUUCCCAAAGCAGCGGUCCUCUGUGGCAGUGCCUCAGCAUCGGGCAACGGACUCUUUCUCCGCGUGAUCAUCGCUGAGUCCUGCGAUUUUAGGAAUCCGGCAGGCCGAGCCAGGCAGAAGAAAGAUCUGUCGGGGCUUCAGGGAUGUCCACGGCGCUCCCCAAGAAUCACCGAGAUGCUGCAGACCUGCCCAAACAGUGUGAGGGUGCCUCUCGUUGAAAGCCCUCGUGGCUGGGAUUUCCAGGCACUCAGUGGAUGCCACUUAUUAGGGGUCCUGAUUGACAUCUGGAGGAGCAAGUCUCAGUAUUGUUCCUUUGAAGUUAGAUUUGUAGAUGUUGAGUCUGCAACUAAAUGUCUUUUCAGGAUAUCAUCUUCAUUUUUCUUCCUACUUACUUCCAUAAAAAAUAAAAACACACUGAUUGCCAAAAUAAAAAGAAACAGAUUGAUUAUUCAUUAGUUUACUGUGUUUGAAUGACUAAUUUAGUUGACUUUUGCUUACCUAAGGACAGAUUACAAGGUAUGAGUUAGCCAUGGUAUGAAAUAACAGUGGGCUUGUUAUCAUAACAAGUGAACUAUCAGUCAUGUAAGAAUAAUUUAAUAUUUUUAUUGUCUAAUGUAAUUCUGCUUAGAAAUACUUGAUAUCUAAUCUAGCAUGGGUAUGUUCCUUGAUCUUAGCUGUCCGAGUAAUUUUUGGGAGCACGGCCUUCUUUUCUUCCACUCUAUAAGGGACAGUGGUCUGCAUCUGGGAAUUACACAAUCAACGCAUAGAAUGUGCUGUGCUUAAAAAUAUUAGAAUUAUAUCCACUUUUAUUUAUUUUUCUUUUUGAGAUGGAGUCUCUCUCUAUCACCCAGGCUGGAGUGCGUGGGCGAGAUCUCAGGUCACUUUAACCUUCACCUCCCAGGUUCAAGUGAUUCUCCUGCCUCAACCUCCCAAGUAGGUAAAAUUACAGGCACACGCUACCACACCAAGUUAAUUUUGUAGUUUCAGUAAAGACGCGGUUUCGUUAUGUUGGUCAGACUGGUCUGAAACACCUGACCUCAGGUAAUUCACCUGCCUCGGCUUCUCAAAGUGCUUGGAUUACAGACAUGAGCUUCCAUGUCCCGAUGUUUCUCCUUUUAAAAUUAUAAUUUAAUAAAACUACAAAUCAAUAGCCAAAGAAAAAUCUGAAGCUCACAAAUAUGUGAAAAGUAAAUAACAUAUUCCUUGACAUCCAACGUGUCAAAUAGAAAAAGCAAAGGGAAAUCAGAAAGUAUUUGUCAAUGAGAAAAGAAAAUAGAAACACAACAUACAGUAACUCAUGGAAUGCAAAAUAACCCAGAAAACAAUUCUAAAACAGAAAUUUAUAGUGCGGUCUUUCCAUAUUAAAAAAAGAAAGAGAUGUUAGAUGAAACUUAAUUCACAAAAUAUUUCAAAAAACUAAAUAUUCUCAAUGAUUGCAUUAUAAUGAAAAUAAUAGGCUGGGCACAGUGGUUGACACCUGUAAUCUCAGCACUUUGAGAGGCCAAUGUUUUGAGAGGUGGAUCAUCUGCGGUUAUCAUUUGGAGAAUAGCCUGGCCAACUGGGUUUCACCGUGUUUCACCCAGUCUCUACUAAAAAUAAAAUAAUUAGCCGGGUGUGGUGGUAGGUGCCUGUAAUUUUGCUACUGGGGACACUGAGGCCGAAGCAUCCCUUGAAACUGGGAAAUGAAGGUUGUGGUGAGCCAAGAUCACACCACUGCCCUCCAGCCUAGGUUACAAAAGUGAAACUUUAGAUAGAGAGAGAGAGAAAAUAAAAAUCAGAGCAGAAGCAGAUUUCAUAGAUACAUAAAAGACAAAAAGGAGAGAAACAAUUUACA